ACCCCCCACCUCCAAAGCUCCGAGUUGAGCCACGAGUUUAACUCUUGCGGGACAGCUUUUAGCUGGGAAAACGGCUCAAAGACCCUCACGUAUGACGAGACACUUCCCACUGGGGCGGGAUCCUGCUCCCCCUUCCAGGAGCGGCUCCCGCCAAGUCCAGUGGAGAGCGAGAGAAAAACCCAACCUUCUACCCCGGAUGCCAGUUAUUGUAAUUAUGAUUAUGAUUUGUCCGUGCGUGCACGUGAGGUGAUAUGCCCGCCCCUGGGUGACAGCGGCGCGGGAAAAGUAUCUUUGGAGAGGCCCCCGCUGGAAAAACUCCCCGCUCCUGGGACUCUGGCCCCCGCCACACUGAAGCUGUCACUUCAGGCCUAGGCUUCGCCCAAGUCAUUCCCCUCCCCCUCCCGCUAUCCUAACCGGUGAUUGGGGAGACUACCGGAAGCUUCCGGCCGCCAUCUUGGACACCCAAGGGGAGGUAUCCAGCACAUAGUUGGAUAUAUGGGAUUUGAGCUGGAAGAGAGUCAAAUACCAGGAAAAGGACCAGCUCAAACAAAAGGGAAGAAUCUGGGAAGUAAUGCUGAGUUGAUUUGAAUUGGAACUGGAGAGAAGAGAAGAAACUCAAGAUUUAAUUUUUCUGUGAGUGUGGGGUGACGUACUCUGCUGUGUAUCAUGGCAGUAUAAGUGACUGGUGAUGAAUAAAAAGUCCUU